GACCGCGUAGCUCAGUUGGAAGAGCAUUGGGCUAGUAUUCCAAAGGUCGUAGGUUCGAAUCCCACCUUGGCCG